ACAAAUCUCACCUCUCAAGUCUCAACAAUGAAAGCAUUUACUCUUGUGAUGAAUCCUGAACGCAAUAAAAUCUCGAGCCGUUGCUAUGUGCUGCAACGCGGACGGGCUAAGCGCCAUUGAUUUGAGGAUUCCUCCAUUUUUGGUUUCUGAAAACAUCAAAAUUUAGUUCAGUGUGUUUUAGCAAUUGGUGUUCUGUAGAAUUAAGGGACGAUGAGAAGAAUAAGAGGCUUAUUAUCAGUUGUGGUUAACCAUUAUCUCAAUAAACCCAAACCCACCCAUUUUGUUAAUCCUUUUGCUGCGGAGUUUGGCCUAGCUCUUAGGCCUUGUGCCACUCCAUCUCUAUUGUUGCCUGCCCUAAGCAAAUGCUAUGUCCAAGUCCUCCCUUUUUCUUCCUCUGAUUCCCUAAACUCCGAAGGUGAAACCUCGGAGGCUCCUGCAACGAAAAUAAGUCGAAAUGCUGGCGUUUAUGAUGAUGACGACGACGACAAUAACAGUGAAGUCGAUAGUGAAUGUGAAGAUGGUGACACCAAUUUUAAAAGAAUUGAUUCAGAAAAAGAUGACAGUCUUGACCGAGACAUAGAAGCUCUUUUGCGUAUACUACGUGAUGGGACGUCGUGUUCUGAGAUGAGGAGAAAGCUUGAUCAAUGUGUUGUAGUUGCAUCGUCGGAGUUGGUAGCUCAGGUUCUCGGACGAGUUCGUAAUGAUUGGGAGGCAGCAUUCACUUUCUUUCUGUGGGCUGGAAAGCAGCUGGGUUAUGCUCACUCUGUGCGGGAAUACCAUUCGAUGAUCGCUAUUCUUGGGAAGAUGAGAAAGUUUGACACUGCUUGGGCCUUGAUUGAUGAGAUGAGGACGCAAACAGCUGGUCCAUCUCUUGUAGCUCCGCAGACGCUCUUGAUCAUGAUUAGGCGAUAUUGUGCGGUGCAUGAUGUUGGGAGGGCGAUGAACACUUUCUAUGCUUACAAGCGUUUUAAUUUUUGUGUUGGGAUGGAUGAAUUCCAUGGACUUCUCUCUGCUCUUUGUCGGUAUAAGAAUGUACAGGAUGCAGAGCACUUGCUCUUUUGCAACAAAAAUGUCUUCCCUUUAAAUACGAAAAGCUUUAACAUUAUUCUCAAUGGUUGGUGCAAUGUGAUUGGUAGUCCACGCGAGGCACAAAGAAUUUGGUGGGAAAUGAGCAAGAGAGGCGUCCACCGUGAUGUUGUUUCAUAUGCAAGUAUCAUAUCUUGUCAUUCAAAAGCAGGCAACCUGUAUAAGGUGCUUAAGAUCUUCGACAGGAUGAAGGCACUGGAGAUUGCUCCAGAUCGGAAAGUUUAUAAUGCGGUGAUUCAUGCUCUUGGUAAAGGCAGGUUUGUGAAGGAAGCUAUUGAUCUCUUGAGAACAAUGGAAGAGAAGGGCGUUGCUCCAAAUGCUGUCACAUAUAACUCAUUAAUUAAGCCUCUUUGUAAGGCCCGAAAAAUAGAUGAAGCCAAACAGGUCUUUGAUGAAAUGUUGCGGCACGGCCUUCCUCCCUCAGUUCAGACUUACCAUGCCUUCUUCCGUGCUUUAAGGACUGUGGAAGAAGUCUUUAUGCUCUUGGAAAAGAUGAAAAAUACGGGUUGUGGACCAAAUUCUGAUACUUACAUAAUGUUGAUUAGAAAAUUUUGUCGAUGGAGACAAGUCGAUGAUGUCUGCAAGUUGUGGAAUGAGAUGAGUGAAAGUGGAGUCGGUCCUGAUCGGAGCUCAUAUAUAGUGCUGAUACAUGGGCUCUUCCUAAAUGGAAAGUUGGAGGAAGCUUACAAAUAUUACAUGGAGAUGAAGGAAAAAAAUUAUUUGCCAGAACCCAGAACAGAAGAGAUGCUCCAAGCAUGGUUGUCUGGAAAGCUGCAGAAAGCAGCAGAUGUAGAACACAAGCAACUAGACGGUACAGAGCCCUAUAGAAAAAGCAGACCGACCUCAGAGAAAUUUAAUGAACGUACACACUUUCUUCGUGAUCCCGAGACUAGAAGAGUUGUAAGAGAACGAGGAUUUUCCUUUUGGGAGAAGUAGGAUGUUUUGUUUUUGUAUAAAAGUUUCAUCAGCUAGAAAUGGCUCGUCAGUUUACCUUCAGGAUAAAGUUUCCUGUGGGCUCCCACACAGUUGCAGGAGAUGGACCAUCUUUGAAGGGCAAUGAUCAAUGUUUUUUCAUAUCAUUGUAUUGGAAUCUGGGACCAAACACUUACUAAUGGUCUUGUUGCAGACAUAGCCUAGUGGUAAUUCCACAUCUUGCUCCACCACAAGAUGUAGAGUUCAAAUCCCCCACUCUCAGGUUCAAGGGGAAAACAGAAAGAAAAACAAAAGAAAAACUUGCCAGUGGUAGCAAUAAAAUGGAAAGACAGGGAAUGUUGCACAAACAAAUCGGCCAAUAGCAGCAGUUAGUAUUGGAAUACACAUUCAGGUAACUAACACAAAGAACUCUGCAUGGAAGUAGGGAAGCAUUUACCGCAAACUUUGCUUUAGAUACUAACAUUUUGGGAUGGUUCAAAUUCUACAAAUCGGAGCUUGGACUUGGAAAACUCAACCAUAUGAUUUCUAAGGGGAAAACCCACCUUAGUAAGUAUGCUCUUGAAUACUUGGAACUUUUACGGUUCUCAAUAAGUGGGUGACUUGGCCAAAAUGUGAAAAAGGAUGUGACAAGUCUAUUUCUGUGGAUCAGAUUUUUGUUGGGGGAAGAUUCCUUUUUGUUUGGUAUCUUUAUUUUGACCAAAACAAAGCUGUGAAAAAAAGCAUCGUACUUGUGUUCCUGUGCACACCACGUGUUGAGAGAAACCAAUGGGUGGGAUAAGAAUGAACUUAUUAGUAGAGUAUAGUAGUAGUUCUUAACUUUUACAAAGAAUGAGUCAUUGUCAAGGCUUUUUUAUUUGAUGUACAGGGAAGGGGAAUUGAUGUUUUCCAUAUUGAAGUGGGAGAAAUAAUGUUUGAAUGGAGCAAAAUUGUACAACUCACACCUCUUUCUUGGCAUGAUUUAUGGUCAAAAUUAUAGGGAGAUCAUAAUAACAUCACAGAUGACAAUAUGACAUGCCAACA